rnacentral:rRNA from 1 species
GACGAACGCUGGCGGCGUGCUUAACACAUGCAAGUCGAACGGAAAGGCCCUGCUUGCAGGGUACUCGAGUGGCGAACGGGUGAGUAACACGUGGGUGAUCUGCCCUGCACUUCGGGAUAAGCCUGGGAAACUGGGUCUAAUACCGGAUAGGAGCCAUUUUUAGUGUGAUGGUUGGAAAGUUUUUUUCGGUGUAGGAUGAGCUCGCGGCCUAUCAGCUUGUUGGUGGGGUAAUGGCCUACCAAGGCGGCGACGGGUAGCCGGCCUGAGAGGGUGGACGGCCACAUUGGGGCUGAGAUACGGCCCAGACUCCUACGGGAGGCAGCAGUGGGGAAUAUUGCACAAUGGGCGCAAGCCUGAUGCAGCGACGCCGCGUGGGGGAUGACGGCCUUCGGGUUGUAAACUCCUUUCGCUAGGGACGAAGCUUUUUGUGACGGUACCUAGAUAAGAAGCACCGGCUAACUACGUG